rnacentral:lncRNA from 1 species
UCAAGAGUCGUGUCUAGGGCUCUGAUACGUGGGAUGAGAAUUAUUAUAUUAUAUUAUUGUUGUUUUCCUUUCCAUGUAUCGAAUUUUGGAACUUGUUGAUGUGGCCCUUUGUUGGUCGACUUAUUGUUGUUUAGGCUUAAUGCCAAGAUGUUAUUGGAGACUUAAACCGUUGUUGUUGUUAUUGAAAUGCAAAACUUUCCGCUGCAUGAUUUUGAAGUUAUGAAU